UCUAAUGAUAUAAAUAUAUAAACGAUAGAUAGAUAGAUAGAUAGAUAGAUAGAUAGAUAGAUAGAUAAAUAGAUUUUGUCCUAGUCCAUGCUUGGUUAACUCUAAAUAGCCUCAGAAAAUCUAUAACCAGUCCAAUAGAACCUGGCAAUUGAUUUCUUUCUAUUGAUUUAAACACAAUAUUCCAAUUAAAAUGUAAUAUUCUAUAUUAUUUAUGCUUUACCCAGUCUACUCGGAACUGAGGUUUGGAGGAGUACUGGACAAGACGUAGACAGUGAGCCGCUGGGGUUAUUAAUUCUGUACUUUUUGUCCACAGAUCUGGACCCAUUUUGAGCCAUUUAGGUGACUUAUGGAUAAAGUCAUCAUGUCAUAUUCUACAUUCAUAUUCUAUUAUUUUACAACUAUAGUAGAGGUAUGGGAAAUAAAGUAAAAUGUAGACAUCCACACCUCUUUACCAUACAAAAAAAAUAGAACAUAUUGUUAAAAAAAACAACACAAAAAACACAAAUCAGAUAUAUUUUUUAAUGUUUUGUUUUCAGUGCAGGUGCAUUAUCAGUGUCACUGUAAGUGUAAAUCUUAGGUAAUUCUAGGUACAUACAUGACAUACCAUUGCUUUGGUUGCACAGUAGGGAGUUAACUCCCCGAUAAUAUCUGUACUAUAUAUGAUUUAGGAUUGACCAACAGGUGAAUUAUUUGCCCCCAUUAUACCCGGCAACCCCCCUGUAACCCCCCUGUAAGCUAGAAAUUGCAAAAUUAAUGAAGAAUGUCAAUUUAUGGCAAACACUGGGUUGAGUGUUUUACGUGCAUGCUAUACAGAAAAUAAUUUCUGGUCCAUAUAAUGACAUAGUAAUAUAUUCAGAUACACUUCAUCAUAAAAUCUUUAUAAAAAUGAUUUUAGGUCAAACGAUUCACAAAUAAAUUAACAUAUUUUUAUAAGGGAGUGUGAUUUUGAUCAAGGGAAGAAUGACUGCAUUCAAUGUUUCGAUGUAUCUGAUGACAGUUGUGUGAAGCAUACAGUUAUCUGUGUUAACGGAAUGUCAAUCUGGACAUAAUGUCUACAUACUAAGAAGAGCGUGAAGAUUAGCUUGAGUCAGACAAUGACUCACCCUUUGAAUAGGUUUAAUUUAACAAUUCCUCCAAUUGAUUCAGAUUUCUUUUUCUUACAAAAUGACAUAAAGGGCAUUGAGCACAUGAGCUCAAAAUUAAAGUACAAAACGUACCUAUUUAAAUAUCAUAGUGAUCUUGUUUCAUAUUAUGAUUUUGUGUAUUAGGCUAUUAGGCUUCCUUUGAAUAAAUCCUUCUUACAAUAGGCUUUAUAGCUAUUUGAAAAAAAAAUGUCUUGUGUUAGAUUUUCUAAGACAUCAGUACAAUAAAUAGAUGGGGUGCAUUUGUGAGCCAUUUCAAAAAGGCAGAGAACAUAAACUCUUAUGUAAAAUAGGGAAUCAAGCUUCAUACUGGUAUUUUUAUUCUGCAUAUUUUCAUAAUGAAGUAGACAUGCUUAUUCCUGUAUGCAGAGUAAAAUUUUAUUCAGUAUGCAAUCCUCUUACAUAGUUCAAGUGUGAUAUUAUUGGAACAAAACAGGCCUCAAAGAGCUUUUAUCAAUCCUGAAAAAACGGUGGCAUUUCAACUCUACCAAGACUUGAUAAAAAGCUCUUCAUAAGCUGAAACAUCGCUGUUUUACUCCAAUUAAGCAUUAAUAAGAGAACACAUUUAUUUAUUUAUUUAUAUAUAAAAUAUUUUAACAGGAAAGAUACAUUGAGAUUUCUCUCGUUUUCAAGUAUGUCCUGGACCCACUAAUACUGUAACGUUAAAAUAGGGUACAAUAUUGAAAACAUAAAAUAAUAUUAAUACACAACAAAUAUAUACAUUUAACAUAGAACAGGUAAGAAAUAUAAUAAACUGUAAUUACAGGUGUGUUCUGUUUUGAGAUAUGUUGAAAGGGAUCUCUUAAAGGAUUUUAGGCUUGGGGUAGAUUUGAAAGUGUCUGUGAGGUUGUUCCAUAAUUGCAGUGCUCUGUAGGAGAAGGAGGAUCGGGCUGCUUUCUUUUUGUAUUGAGGUAGACUAAAUAAAGUGCUGGUACUGGAUCGGAGGUUAUUGGAGGUGGGAACCGCUAAAGGAGAGCAUUCUGCUCAGGUAGGGUGGGACCUUUCUAGAAAAGCUCUUAAACACAAGGCUGGAAAGAUGAAGUGUGCAUCUGUUUAGCACCAGUUUAGCUCUUUUAGCACAUUAACUUGAUCGUGUUUUGUUUGUUGCAACAUACUUUCUUGUCAUUUACUAUUUUCAUUUUCAAAAUGGAAAAAAAAUAAAGAAAAUUAUAUAUGCAAUGUACAGUGUGCAUAUCUUGAAUAUGGAACUAGGACAGAACAUUUUUUAUUGCAGUGUCCUGCAAAAUAAACCAAAUCCCUUCAAUAUAGGGGUUGAGAGUGAAGGGAUUAUAUUAACAUUUUACCCAUCACCAUCAUUUAUAAUUUCUUCAAUUUAAUCCAGGACAAAUCUAACACACUCAUAAAUGUUAUUUAAUGUGUCAAUUGCCCUAGCAAAUUCUUACUAAAUCUUUUAUUCAUUUAACAAAUUGAACUAGAGGUAACUUUAAAAACAUUAAAUAUUUUCAAAGGAAACUAUGUUUUUUCCCAUUUUGACUUCUGUUAUAAAAUCUUAAAAACCUUAAUUUUGUAAAUCAUUUUGAAGCCAAGUGUUUCACAUAAAAUUAGCUUCAUGAGCAGUUUCAAUAUUCUGUAAAAUACAUUAUUCAAAAUCAUUAACAGUAGCUAAAGACACAUUUUCAAUUCAAUUCAAAACUGAUUUAUGCUACGUGACAGCAAUUUUUUAAUGUGCUCAACAAACUAUAUGCUAUUGUUAAAAGCUUUAAGUUGUAUUUUUAUGGUGUAUGCAGAAAAAUAAAAUAUGCAGUCUUAAUAAGGUGCUUCAAGAUAACACACAUAUUAAUUAUCCUCCUGACUCUGCUUUUUAAUUAAAUUAGCAUAAUAACAGUUAUUGCGAAAUAGCAGCCUUGUUACUCAAAAUACAAAUAUUAGCUUUUUAAUGUGUUCUUUAUAGUUUCUUUUUAAUGGAAUUUAUUUUAUUUAUUUAUUUAUUUAUUGCAAUAGAGAUUGUGGGUAAAUGAACUUGCC